rnacentral:lncRNA from 1 species
GCCUUUACCUUAUUAGUGACCACUUAAAUAGGCUAAUUGAUUAAUGACCCUAUCAUAUUUAUUCCUUAACAUAUGUGACCCCAUCAAAUGAUCUUACAACGAGCUCUUCUCAUCCCUCUCAAUGUACGAUUCUUCUCAUGUCUUCUCUUUCUUCUCCUUUCAACUCUCUCUUUCAUUCAUGAAGAUGAAUCACAUAUCUGAAACUCACAAGAACAAGGUCUCUCUCUUCAUCUCGUUAAGGUUGAAAUAGAGAGAACCGAUCUGGCGUCUCUCUCUCCCUCUCUCUUUAUCACCUUUGAAUCUGAUUUUGAUUUGUUUUUUUUUUGUUAAAGUAAAUUAGAGGAUGCACAAGAGGCUUGACUAUGGAUGUGGUGAAGGCGUGGUCUUGGCAGCGGUGGUGCAAGACGUUGUCGUAGUUGUGGUGGCGCGGCGGAGAGAACAUGGUGUUUAGGGUUUAGAUGGGGGCGGUGGUUUAAUUUUGUUGUUUAGGUUUAAUUGUUUUUGGUUAAGGUUUAUCUUAAAUUUUUUAAUUUUGAUUUAGUUUGGUCUAGUUUGAUUUAACUGUCAUAAAUAUGUAAACAAAUUUGAUAUAUAAAAUUUUUUAAAUAAUUUUAUUUGAAUUUUUUUUUAAUUUUUUAAUAAUUUUGUGAUAGCAAUUAUUAUAUGUUCUCUUAAGUUUUACAAUUUCACAACUAAUAAAUCGCUAUCGAAGCAUUAAUUAACAUAGCAUAUAUAAAAUGUUAUAUAAAGUCCAGAGAAAAGAUUGUGGGGGUAGACACAGCGUUCGCCAUAACGCUAUGCUAUUCUGUAAUAGCCUUUUACGGAUGCUAUAUAUGUAACAUUUUCUUGUAGUGUAAUAUCGGUUGUUUUUAUCCAUAAAUAGUUUAUGUGUUGGUAGAAUCAGGAGUUGAUAUCAAUCUAUGGAAUGGACAUGUAAUAGCUCUCUAAAAUCGAAUUUGAUGCAAGCUUGCCAACAUGGUUAUUGGGAGGUCGUUUGAUUCUCAUUCGUUUUAUUGCUAAUGUAAGAAUUUGAUAAACUUUUAUUCUCAUGGUUGUUGUGUUGUAUUAAUCAUGUUGAUAGAAUGACAUAUCAUAUUAGCUAAACGGUUGUAUUCUUUGUAUCUUGCGGCUCAAAAUGGUCAUCCUUAGUUUAGCA